AAACAGAGGCGAGGAACCUCAUUUUGUAACCAUUCUUGGUUGGCGCGUUCUGAGUGCGAUGGUGCUGAGUCCUGUUGGAAUGUCCAAGGUCUGCGGCCGAAAUGUUUGCGUGCCCAAGGAUUUAAUACACCCUCCAGAAAAUUUUCGCGAUAAUAUUCGGCAUUUAUUCGGAUGCCACAGUCGAUUAAUACGAGCGGAGAGCGACCAUCGGCUGUAAUGGCGGUCCAUACCAUCACCAUGGCCGGCGCUUGAGUUCUGGUGGCCAACCGAAGGUGCACAUUUUCAGCUGACUUCUUUGGCAAGUAAACAUGAUCAUUUUGUUUGUUUACAAACUGCUGGACAACGAAUGUUUUCACAUCGGAGAGAACCAAAUUCGGCAGUUCACCACUUUCGGCC